GCGGACCCUCCCGGGCGCGCUCCUCCUCCGGCGUCCUGCCGCCCAGCCCAGAGCCGGCCCGCGGUCCUCGUCACCCUGGAGGGCGCUCCGGCGCCCAGCGUGGAGGCUCGCGGGCGGAAUUCGAGACGAAAGGUUGGCCCCUGGGGCGCGCGGCUCUCCUACCGGCAGGUUUUCCUUUGCUACUGUGGAUGGUGACUGCACUCUUCUGCCUGGGAGUGGUUCAAACUAAAGAAUGAGACCGGAUGGCCUGUUUUGUGUUCCAGAGCAAGGAUGGAGAGGCCAGCAAUCUCUACAGGAAAAUUUGUGCUUGGCAUAGCUGUCACUUGGAGCAAAUACAUGAUUUGUAACGGAGGAGCACCUUUGACCCAGGAGCCUGACAGACGACAUGACAUCACACCACAGACUGUCAUGUGGCCGGGAGAGCCACAGAGCUGAGCUUGAGCCACCGCCCUCUGCCACUUUCUAGCUGCAACUUGGGCUGGGACCCGGGAGCACAAGCAAGAUGCCCAGGACUCCAACUUUUAGAAGGCAUUCACCCUCCAGCUCAUUGGACAUUGAGUCCACACCUGAGAAUACAGAAGCCAACACCCAGAAGGCUCAAUAACUUGACCUAGAACAUAAGUAGGCAAGGACAGAAUCAGAAGGCACACAGAGUCCCACCUGCUUGCAGCCCCCAGACCUUAGAACUGGGGGACCCCAGAGACUGUCUGCUUCAGCAGAAGCAGCACCGCAGCCGUGACCCGGGACCACCAAGGGACACAGAGACCUCCCAGCAGUCCAUGGUGCGGUGGGGCA